GACUUUCCUAGAGGUGAUAUUGGCCGUUAUCCUACCUCCUGUUGGGGUCUUCCUGCGUUAUGGCUGUGGAGUAAUUAUUUCUGAACUUUUAAGCUAUGCCCUUUUCUUUUAACUUUAAUCCUCAUUUAAUUAUCAUUCUUCUUUUCUGAAAUCUCAUUGAUUAUGUUAUUUGGCUAAUUGAAAAUUAAUGCAGGUGGAGUUCUGGAUUGAUUUGUUGCUGACCGUAUUGGGAUAUAUUCCAGGGAUUGUAUAUGCCAUUUAUGUAUUGGUCGGAUAGUUAAGGU
rnacentral:misc_RNA from 1 species